rnacentral:rRNA from 1 species
AUUGAACGCUGGCGGCAGGCCUAACACAUGCAAGUCGAACGAGUGGCGGAAGGGUGAGUAAUGUCUGGGACACUGCCCGAUGGAGGGGGAUAACUACUGGAAACGGUAGCUAAUACCGCAUACCAUCGGAUGUGCCCAGAUGGGAUUAGCUAGUAGGUGGGGGAACGGCUCACCUAGGCGACGAGCCCGAGCUGGUCUGAGAGGAUGACCAGCCCAACUGGAACUGAGACACGGUCCAGACUCCUACGGUGGGCAGCAGUGGGAAAUAUUGCACAAUGGUCGUAAGCCUGAUGCAGCCAUGCCGCGUGUAUGAAGAAGGCCUUCGGGUUGUAAAGUAAUUUCAUGGAGGAGGCGUUACUCGCAGAAGAAGCACCGGCUAACUCCGUGCCAGCAGCCGCGGUAAUUC